rnacentral:rRNA from 1 species
UCGAGCGAAUGGAUUAAGAGCUUGCUCUUAUGAAGUUAGCGGCGGACGGGUGAGUAACACGUGGGUAACCUGCCCAUAAGACUGGGAUAACUCCGGGAAACCGGGGCUAAUACCGGAUAACAUUUUGCACCGCAUGGUGCGAAAUUCAAAGGCGGCUUCGGCUGUCACUUAUGGAUGGACCCGCGUCGCAUUAGCUAGUUGGUGAGGUAACGGCUCACCAAGGCAACGAUGCGUAGCCGACCUGAGAGGGUGAUCGGCCACACUGGGACUGAGACACGGCCCAGACUCCUACGGGAGGCAGCAGUAGGGAAUCUUCCGCAAUGGACGAAAGUCUGACGGAGCAACGCCGCGUGAGUGAUGAAGGCUUUCGGGUCGUAAAACUCUGUUGUUAGGGAAGAACAAGUGCUAGUUGAAUAAGCUGGCACCUUGACGGUACCUAACCAGAAAGCCACGGCUAACUACGUGCCAGCAGCCGCGGUAAUACGUAGGUGGCAAGCGUUAUCCGGAAUUAUUGGGCGUAAAGCGCGCGCAGGUGGUUUCUUAAGUCUGAUGUGAAAGCCCACGGCUCAACCGUGGAGGGUCAUUGGAAACUGGGAGACUUGAGUGCAGAAGAGGAAAGUGGAAUUCCAUGUGUAGCGGUGAAAUGCGUAGAGAUAUGGAGGAACACCAGUGGCGAAGGCGACUUUCUGGUCUGUAACUGACACUGAGGCGCGAAAGCGUGGGGGAGCAAACAGGAUUAGAUACCCUG